CAGUAGCCGCGGUAAUACGAAGGGUGCAAGCGCUAAUCGGAAUUACUGGGCGUAAAGCGUGCGUAGGCGGUGAGUUAAGUCUGCUGUGAAAUCCCCGGGCUCAACCUGGGAAUGGCAGUGGAUACUGGCUCGCUAGAGUGUGUCAGAGGAUGGUGGAAUUCCCGGUGUAGCGGUGAAAUGCGUAGAGAUCGGGAGGAACAUCAGUGGCGAAGGCGGCCAUCUGGGACAACACUGACGCUGAGGCACGAAAGCGUGGGGAGCAAACAGGAUUAGAUACCCCAGUAGUCCCUGUCUCUUAUAC
rnacentral:rRNA from 1 species